AUGUUGCCGCCUUAGGUCAUCGCAUACAAACACACCAAGAAAUUGAUCCAUACAUAGAUAGUAAAUUUUCUUAUUUUUUAUCUUUAGAUAAGUUAGGAUGCAGUCUUGAGAUAAGACUAUCCUAACUUUUAUUGUAUCUUUCUGAUUUAAAAAAAAAAGUAUAAGCACUCAUCGACCUACAACAAAAUCGCAAAAGCCCAUUGAAAAGCCCCCGUGGCGGCACAAAUCCAUUCCAUAAAAUCCAUAAUCCUUGGUAAAACCCUAGCACACUAUUCCGCUCAACUCAAACCCUCAUCUUCUCCGCCGCCGUCUUUCCUCCAUUUUUCUCCGCAAAUAGCAAGGAGCAGAGUUCGUGUUUUUGUUGGGAUACUGUGAUUUUGGACUAAAAGAUGAAUGCAAUUAAAUAAUUGGAUGAUAAUUUCUUUAAAAAUGAUUUGUUAAGUGUAAUCGAUAUGAAUACAAUUUUCUGAAAUUGGGUUCAAUUUGAUGGUUUGUAAUCGUAGAUUUCGAUAUUGAAAUUCAUAAACAUGUGUUCUUUGA